UUCCGGAUAACGCAUAUUUGCUGGAAUGCUUUAUGCGUCAAAAGGAUUCGUCUGCCCAAGGAUGGGUCUGCGGCCUAUCAGGUAGUAGUGGGUGUAAUGUACCUACUAGCCAGCGACGGGUACGGGUUGUGAGAGCAAGAGCCCGGAGAUGGAUUCUGAGACAUGAAUCCAGGCCCUACGGGGCGCAGCAGGCGCGAAAACUUUACAAUGCGGGAAACCGUGAUAAGGGGACACCGAGUGCCAGCAUCAUAUGCUGGCUGUCCGGAUGUGUAAAAUACAUCCGUUAGCAAGGGCCGGGCAAGACCGGUGCCAGCCGCCGCGGUAACACCGGCGGCCCGAGUGGUGAUCGUGAUUAUUGGGUCUAAAGGGUCCGUAGCCGGUUUGGUCAGUCCUCCGGGAAAUCUGAUAGCUCAACUAUUAGGCUUUCGGGGGAUACUGCCAGACUUGGAACCGGGAGAGGUAAGAGGUACUACAGGGGUAGGAGUGAAAUCUUGUAAUCCCUGUGGGACCACCUGUGGCGAAGGCGUCUUACCAGAACGGGUUCGACGGUGAGGGACGAAAGCUGGGGGCACGAACCGGAUUAGAUACCCGGGUAGUCCCAGCCGUAAACGAUGCUCGCUAGGUGUCAGGCAUGGCGCGACCGUGUCUGGUGCCGCAGGGAAGCCGUGAAGCGAGCCACCUGGGAAGUACGGCCGCAAGGCUGAAGCUUAAAGGAAUUGGCGGGGGAGCACAACAACGGGUGGAGCCUGCGGUUUAAUUGGACUCAACGCCGGACAACUCACCGGGGGCGACAGCAAUAUGUAGGCCAAGCUGAAGACUUUGCCUGAAUCGCUGAGAGGAGGUGCAUGGCCGUCGCCAGUUCGUACUGUGAAGCAUCCUGUUAAGUCAGGCAACGAGCGAGACCCGUGCCCACUGUUACCAGCAUGUCCUCCGGGACGAUGGGUACUCUGUGGGGACCGCCGAUGUUAAAUCGGAGGAAGGUGCGGGCCACGGUAGGUCAGUAUGCCCCGAAUCUCCCGGGCUACACGCGGGCUACAAUGGAUGGGACAAUGGGUCCCUCCCCUGAAAAGGGCUGGUAAUCUCACAAACCCAUUCGUAGUUCGGAUCGAGGGCUGUAACUCGCCCUU
rnacentral:rRNA from 1 species